rnacentral:lncRNA from 1 species
CUUCAUAUCUAUGCUUAUUUUUAACUCCCGGAAGCAUUUGGUUUAUUACUACACCUUCCUCGUCUUUGGUUUUAGCAGUGUCAAAGCAGACCUCUUCAAGCAUUCGCUGGAAAGCAUAAGUUCUUAAAAGCACCUUUUGUCUCAAUCAGUUUACACCAGAUAUGACGAUGGAUUAUGCUUUGAGGAACAACAAUGAGUAGCUCAAUACAAACAGAAAAGACUCCUUUUGGGGACUGCUAUUGUUUUGGGGAGUUUCUUUACUUGUAACAAAAGGAUUCCUCAAGUGUGGAUAUCCCUCUUUCACCUCUAAAGUUACUUUCAUUUUGUUGACCAUCAAGAUUACCCACCCCCUAUCCCCACCGCCUCCUCCAAACACUUCCGUAAAGCAGGAAGUAUUAGAGAAUCUAUGUCAAAAAUAUUCCUAAACUAUCUGCAAUGGAUCAAAAAUAUUUCUCGUU